rnacentral:rRNA from 1 species
UACGUAGGGUGCGAGCGUUGUCCGGAAUUACUGGGCGUAAAGAGCUCGUAGGUGGUUUGUCGCGUUGUUCGUGAAAACUCACAGCUCAACUGUGGGCGUGCGGGCGAUACGGGCAGACUAGAGUACUGCAGGGGAGACUGGAAUUCCUGGUGUAGCGGUGAAAUGCGUAGAUAUCGGAAGGAACGCCGGUGGCGAAAGCGGCAUGCUGGGUCCCUUCUGACGCUGAGGCGCGAAAGCCAGGGGAGCAAACGGG